rnacentral:misc_RNA from 1 species
GUUCUCUGUCUGUUUGUUUGCUUGCUUGCUUUUAUUUUUGAAUUCUGACUGGUUAGGGUUUUAUUAAACAUUAUGGAAGCCGCUGCAGAGAUGAACAUUGGGUACUGGAUUACACGUGCGCUGCUCUGUAAAAGCUCCUUUUCGAGGCAAACUUACGCUUCCAUAUGUAUAUGAGGCUACAACAACCAGGACAAACAGACCUCAGGCUUUGUCACAGUCACAUACACCAUAGAAUACAAGUAAAAGGAUGGGACUGAAUCAUCAACUAAAGGAAGAAACAUCUGACGGGAGUUUUCCUUUUGGGCCGAAACUGAUCAAAUAUUUCAUAGACUAGGUUUUGCCAUGUUGAAUUGAUAACUAUGUUAUAAAAAUUUUUUAAAAUAGAGGAACUUAAAGAAAAAAAGAAAUAAAAAUUAAUAUGUUGUAAGUCAGGUGGGAGGAAGCUUUCACAACGUGUGCAAACAAGUAUCAUUUUCCUGGUUUCGUGUUGAGCCAUUCGACAAUACUUU